rnacentral:rRNA from 1 species
CAGCAGCCGCGGUAAUACGAAGGGUGCAAGCGUUACUCGGAAUUACUGGGCGUAAAGCGUGCGUAGGUGGUGGUUUAAGUCCGUUGUGAAAGCCCUGGGCUCAACCUGGGAAUUGCAGUGGAUACUGGAUCACUAGAGUGUGGUAGAGGAUAGUGGAAUUUCCGGUGUAGCAGUGAAAUGCGUAGAGAUCGGAAGGAACAUCUGUGGCGAAGGCGACUAUCUGGGCCAACACUGACACUGAGGCACGAAAGCGUGGGGAGCAAACAGGAUUAGAUACCCCAGUAGUCCCUGUCUCUUAUAC